AGAUCUAGUAACUUAAUAGGUAAAGGAUUUCCUUGUCACGGAAAUAGAUGUCGGUUCGAUGCUGAUCUAGGUCGAG
rnacentral:tRNA from 1 species